UGGUUAUUUCUGGUAUUAAUAAGAGGCUUUGGCUUUUAUGUGGUGUCUAUGCAAACAUAGAUUAUAGAGUGUGGAGGGUGUCGUAGGAGGAGGGAUCGAGACUAGUAGACCAAGGUCUCCUCUUUCUUUUUGCAGGGGACUUCAAUUGCAUCAAUGGAUCCCAGGAGAAAAGAGGGGGUAGGCCUUUCUCAGACAAUAU
rnacentral:lncRNA from 1 species